rnacentral:lncRNA from 1 species
UUAUUCAGGCAUUCGGCUCAAGCGAUGUUCACGCGACGACCGAAAAAAAGUUCGACCGGUUGAACUUUUCUCGCCGAAGCAGUCAUUUAGCGGCCGAAAAUCAACAGCCGCCAUAUUGUUUUCAUACAACCUUGACAAGUCCGGUUGUUUACAUUCCAAUCAUUUUCGAUGUGAGGGGCUCGUGUGGUGUGGAGUUGUUUGCGAUGGAAAUGAAUUGGGUCGGAGAAGUGGAUCUCAUUCAAGCGGUACACAACAAGCCAGUUUCAUGAAACACGAGUCUUCCUGGACGAUGCGGCACCAGCUGAACCGCAAACGGCCGGCGCACCAGCUCUGUCCCCGGGGCCGGCGCCCCGGCAAGCAGCACCAGCUCCAAGGCCGGCGCUCGGGCCAGCCCCGUCUCUGGAGCGGUCGGUGCCGGCAUCACCAGUGUCCGCAAGGAGCAGCCGUGCCCAGUCGAAACGCUCGCAGCACUUCAAAGUGUACAACAGGUGGCUAAACCGUUGAAUGAUGCCGACCUGACUUUCGGUCAGUGUGUAAAAGCGGUUCGAAAAAAAGCCAUCGCUCCCGGAACUUCCGCUCACUGGCGCGCGACGUCUCCUCCGUCGGCUCCGGCAGGUACACUGCACCGCGGACGUUCACGAUCGCGCAACAGAUGUACACCAACGCGCGCGUGGUCGACUCCGCGAGCCGGUAGCUCGGCGCCAGAGCGGAAAAAUCAGCCCCCGACGCCAGAUAGUGGAGUGUAAUCGCCAGCCGCAGCGGUGCGCUCACCGGCUGGAGGAAGGUGGUGGUCGAGCGGGUGAUCUGGCUCUCCAGCUCAGUCGGAAAUACUGAACCUGUGUCGCUGGGGGUCGUUGAGCCGAAGCUCCUGCUCUCGGUUGGCGUGCUCGCCCGGCUCGUCUCGGCGCUGUAGCACGUCGCUGACCCCAUGCGCCGGACCAAGGGUCUGCGUCUCUCCUGCACCCUUUGGAGUGCCAGCUUGAAGUACAGUAUCGCGAUGGCUAGUUGAAGUGUGUACGGGUUGUUUGGUGGCUCAGCAUGCAGAUAACUAAAUCUUUUGGUCCCAGAGCAUCAAUACAAUGCACAUUAAUGUUGCUAAGUUUGGUUAAUCGCUUGCGAUAUGCUCAGACCAUUUAGACCUCAAUAGUCGGUGUACUUUGCUCAAUGUUUGUUUUUAACAGCCAAUUUGUUUUCAUUAUCAAGCAAGCUACAUACUC